rfam:Dipodomys ordii contig_26628, whole genome shotgun sequence.
UGGCUCAGUGGUAGAGCGCUUGCCUUGCAUGCAAGAGGCCCUGGGUUCGAUUCCUCAG